UGCAAAUAGAAAGAGCUAUAGGAUAUGAAUAACUAGCCGGCCGUGAAAAACCAAUCCAAAAUUUCAUAGGUCGCUAAAGUAAUAUAUAAUCAAACAACUUACAAAACUAUUCAGAUUGUGUGAUUAGAGGCAACUCCACUAGCCAUGGUGUGUAUGUCAACGACAAGAUCAGCACCUAUAAUUUCCCACAUGGUAACUGAUGCAGCAC
rnacentral:misc_RNA from 1 species